AUGACCAUGGCCACAACAGAGGCGUGGACGUGUCCCAUCUGCCGUGACGUGCGGCGAGACAUCGCUUCUGUGAUGCCGUGCAGCCAUCAGUUCUGUGUGGGCUGCAUCCAGCGGUGGGCGAGGCUGAGAGACAGCUGCCCGCUCUGCAGGAUGGCCAUGAGGACCAUCAAGGUCUCUGUGUGGGGAGGCAAGCAUUAUGUCGAGUGCGUCGUCUCCCCACCCGCAGUGCCGGUACCCGCUGACUUCCAGCCCGGCACCGCCAACCGCCCCAGUGGCACUGCGGCACGUGCUCCAUUCCCUCUGGCACAGCCACCCCAGCAGACGGCUGCAGAGGCAGAGGUGAGGGCGAGGCUGGGCGGCCUCCUGCCGCAGGAGUGGGCGGCACUGUUCAGGGAGCGACACAGCAUCCUCAACCCCGUGCUGCCCUCCCUGCACCAGAAGCUCUCUGCCAUCCACGGGAUCCACUGGUGGCAGGUCCUGUCGGCAGAGAGCCUCUUCCUGUGCUGCCUAUGUUGGCUGGGGCCAGACAGGGACGUCAUGCUCCAGUGCACAGAGCCCAGCUUGGGACCCAUGGCCGCGCCGCUCACUGACUGGCUCGUGCCUACCAUCAUCAGUCGCUGCGGCCGGGAGGCCCGGAGGCUGCGCGGCCUCGAGGAUGAGGAUGACAGCCGUGCGGCCGCUACCUCACAGAGGACCCUCGCACCCAGCACCACGCCCUCCGGCAGCUCUGCGGGUCCAGACGCGGAGGAGCUCCCCGGCACAUCCAGUGGGCUCCUUCACGAGCGCGCUGGCGAGCUCCCCGCCGCAGCCGGCCCUUGGGAGCAGCCCCGUGAGGAGCCGGGGCAGGAGGCAGCAGGGCCCAACGCCCAGGGCAGCGGCCGCAGCCACGGCAGCUCCGCUCCCGGCCGGGGUGGGAAGCACUGCUCUGGGGGGUCCCGGCGCCCCAAGAAGAGGAGGGCCGGCAGCGCCCAUGGUGCUCCGCAGCCCUGCAAGAGGCUGCGCUCCCGGCGCCGCUAG
rnacentral:lncRNA from 1 species